GAUUAGAAAUUUUUCACUGAAAUUUGCAUUAUGUACCGGUACACAUGAGGCUGUCACCGGUACACGAUGACGGAACAGAAAUCUGCGAAGCCAAAGUAAAUUUACGAAACCAAUGUCGAUGGCUGUACCGGUACGGGUCAAUGGCUGUACCGGUACACAGUGCAUUUUUAAGACUUUGCACUGUUUCGGGUUCUGCAGAGUUUUGAAGUACUUUCUAAUCAACUAGAUAUUGAUAAUAAUGAUUCUAAUGCCUAUACUAAGUACGAAUCACCAUAACAUGAAGUAAAGACUUUACCUGAGCAUCGUGAUUCAUAUCGUGAGUUAUCUCUGCCUUCUCCGAAGUCUUAGAUUCUUCGUUCUUCGACGAUAUGCUCCGAAACCUUCAAGACUCCUGUUAAGUAUUGUGUGUUGGCACGGUUGUGUGUGUUGAAUAUGAUAGAUGGAUAUUCGCCAAUAGAUUAAAAUUUGUCAAAAUAUUUUCAAUUGUGAGAUUGUCUAAUUUAGAGGGAGUUUGAAAUUAUUAAAAAAAAAAGGGAGAAAACUCCUAUGUUUAAAAAAAUGUGGAAAGAGUUACAUCCAAAAGGAGUGUGAAAACUACCACCACAUGUAGGAAAGAGCUACCACCCCGGUCGUCCGGCAAGUGUGUGAAGCUACCACAUGAAGAUUAAAUUAAUUAACCGAAAAAAGGUUGAAAAAAAUUGAAUAAUUUAGAAUUUUCGGAGUAAUAAGGUGCUAGUUUGAAAAAGAUGCUCAAAGAGCCA
rnacentral:lncRNA from 1 species